rnacentral:rRNA from 1 species
GACGAACGCUGGCGGCGUGCUUAACACAUGCAAGUCGAACGGAAAGACCCUUCGGGGUACUCGAGUGGCGAACGGGUGAGUAACACGUGGGUGAUCUGCCCUGCACUUUGGGAUAAGCCUGGGAAACUGGGUCUAAUACCGAAUAUGAUCAUCGGCUUCAUGGUCGGUGGUGGAAAGCUUUUGCGGUGUGGGAUGGGCCCGCGGCCUAUCAGCUUGUUGGUGGGGUAAUGGCCUACCAAGGCGACGACGGGUAGCCGGCCUGAGAGGGUGACCGGCCACACUGGGACUGAGAUACGGCCCAGACUCCUACGGGAGGCAGCAGUGGGGAAUAUUGCACAAUGGGCGCAAGCCUGAUGCAGCGACGCCGCGUGAGGGAUGACGGCCUUCGGGUUGUAAACCUCUUUCAGCACAGACGAAGCGCAAGUGACGGUAUGUGCAGAAGAAGGACCGGCCAACUACGUG